AGGAAAGGGUGAGUUUUAAUAUGUCUAUCCCUGCACUUAACCAGGUAGCUGUCUUCCGGAGUCAGUUGGAGAAGGGGCUGCCCAAGUCAGAAGAACGCUCCAUGUUUGAAGGGCUCACAACUGGCCAGCUGUUGAGGCUGCCGUGAUGACAUGCUGGAGUUUUUGAGUUUGCACUGGUGGCUAUUGCCUCAGUCAGUUUUAUUUAACCUGUUGCCCUGGCAUUGACUCAAGACAGCUUGUGGAUGAAAGUACUCAUGUGACCGGUGGCGGAGAGCUCCUCAGGGGAUGAUAACAAUCUGGUAACGACGUUCUUAAUUUGCAGAGCCAAGCUGAAUGCACAUGAAGGCACAUCUCCUGGCCUUGAUGUGUUUGCCCAGA
ensembl:lncRNA